CGAACGCUGGCGGCAGGCCUAAUACAUGCAAGUCGAACGGCUCUUCGGAGCAGUGGCGGGCGGGUGAGUAACGCGGGGGAAUGUGCCCUUUGGUACGGAACAACACAGGGAAACUUGUGCUAAUACCGUAUGUGGCCUUCGGGGGAAAGAUUUAUCGCCAUUGGAGCAGCCCGCGUUGGAUUAGGUAGUUGGUGAGGUAAAGGCUCACCAAGCCUACGAUCCAUAGCUGGUCUGAGAGGAUGAUCAGACACACCGGGACUGAGACACGGCCCAGACUACUACGGGAGGCAGGCGUAGGGAAUCUAGCGCAAUGGGGGAAAGCCUGACGCAGCUAUGCCGCGUGAAUGAUGAAGGUCUUAGGAUUGUAAAAUUCUUUCACCGGGGAAGAUAAUGACGGUACCCGGAGAAGAAGCCCCGGCUAACUUCGUGCCAGCCGCCGCCGUAACAC
rnacentral:rRNA from 1 species